UUAGACUCGGCCGAUCAAGUUAGGCAACGAGCGAUUGCGGCCAUUAAUGCCCUCCUUGGAUGAACUGCAAAAAUGCUGGCUGCUCUGUAAAAAAAACAUUAAUGUCAUUUUGACCGUUUGAUAUGCAAAUCCAAUUCUGACCCGUCCUUCGUGGCGGCCUUUCAUUUAUUACUCCUUUUACUCCGAUGGGACGUGUCUUACCAAACUUUCGCCCCUUUUCUUUUUAUAAGUACGGGACCCCGUAUUGUUUCCAAGGGCACUUGCCUCCCUCGUCCUCUUCUCCUCUGGUAGUUCACACCAUCGGACUAUUCACCGAGAUGUCUUCUUCAUCUUCUUCCUUUUCCUCCUCCUCCGUCAACUAGGUAUGAGAUCUUUCCUUCACCCUCUAUUUCCUGGCUUGACAUUUUGAUCAGCCUGACGUCGAGAGGUUGUUUGUCGAUUUUCAGCCGAGACGCCUUAUUCCCGAAUUGGAACGAGCAAUCAAGAUCAUGCACUCUGAUGAACCCUUAUCGCAGGAGGAUAGAGAUUUGAUCAGAGCCCACCGCGAAGAAC
rnacentral:lncRNA from 1 species